rnacentral:tRNA from 1 species
GGUUUAGUAGUUAAAAUAUAAUAGCGGACUGCAAACCCGCGGUUGCUGUAAGGGCCUAAGC